GAUGAACGCUGGCGGCGUGCCUAAUACAUGCAAGUCGAGCGAACGGACGAGAAGCUUGCUUCUCUGAUGUUAGCGGCGGACGGGUGAGUAACACGUGGAUAACCUACCUAUAAGACUGGGAUAACUUCGGGAAACCGGAGCUAAUACCGGAUAAUAUUUUGAACCGCAUGGUUCAAAAGUGAAAGACGGUCUUGCUGUCACUUAUAGAUGGAUCCGCGCUGCAUUAGCUAGUUGGUAAGGUAACGGCUUACCAAGGCAACGAUGCAUAGCCGACCUGAGAGGGUGGUCGGCCACACUGGAGCUGAGACACGGUCCAGACUCCUACGGGAGGCAGCAGUAGGGAAUCUUCCGCAAUGGGCGAAAGCCUGACGGAGCGACGCCGCGUGAGUGAUGAAGGUCUUCGGAUCGUAAAACUCUGUUAUUAGGGAAGAACAUAUGUGUAAGUAACUGUGCACAUCUUGACGGUACCUAAUCAGAAAGCCACGGCUAACUACGUG
rnacentral:rRNA from 1 species